GAUGAAGAACGCAGCGAAAUGCGAUAAGUAAUGUGAAUUGCAGAAUUCAGUGAAUCAUCGAAUCUUUGAACGCACAUUGCGCCCGCCAGUAUUCUGGCGGGCAUGCCUGUUCGAGCGUCAUUACAACCCUCAGGCCCCCGGGCCUGGCGUUGGGGAUCGGCGGAGCCCCCCGUGGGCACACGCCGUCCCCCAAAUACAGUGGCGGUCCCGCCGCAGCUUCCAUCGCGUAGUAGCUAACACCUCGCGACUGGAGAGCGGCGCGGCCACGCCGUAAAACACCCAACUCUUCUGAAGUUGACCUCGAAUCAGGUAGGAAUACCCGCUGAACUUUAGCAUAUCAAUAAGCGGAGGA
rnacentral:misc_RNA from 1 species